GACGAACGCUGGCGGCGUGCUUAGCACAUGCAAGUCGAACGGAAAGGCCCUGCUUUUGUGGGGUGCUCGAGUGGCGAACGGGUGAGUAACACGUGAGUAACCUGCCCUUGACUUUGGGAUAACUUCAGGAAACUGGGGCUAAUACCGGAUAGGAGCUCCUGCUGCAUGGUGGGGGUUGGAAAGUUUCGGCGGUUGGGGAUGGACUCGCGGCUUAUCAGCUUGUUGGUGGGGUAGUGGCUUACCAAGGCUUUGACGGGUAGCCGGCCUGAGAGGGUGACCGGCCACAUUGGGACUGAGAUACGGCCCAGACUCCUACGGGAGGCAGCAGUGGGGAAUAUUGCACAAGGGGCGGAAGCCUGAUGCAGCAACGCCGCGUGCGGGAUGACGGCCUUCGGGUUGUAAACCGCUUUCGCCUGUGACGAAGCGUGAGUGACGGUAAUGGGUAAAGAAGCACCGGCUAACUACGUG
rnacentral:rRNA from 1 species